AUUGAACGCUGGCGGCAGGCUUAACACAUGCAAGUCGAGCGGAGAUGAGGUGCUUGCACCUUAUCUUAGCGGCGGACGGGUGAGUAAUGCUUAGGAAUCUGCCUAUUAGUGGGGGACAACAUUCCGAAAGGAAUACUAAUACCGCAUACGUCCUACGGGAGAAAGCAGGGGAUCUUCGGACCUUGCGCUAAUAGAUGAGCCUAAGUCGGAUUAGCUAGUUGGUGGGGUAAAGGCCUACCAAGGCGACGAUCUGUAGCGGGUCUGAGAGGAUGACCCGCCACACUGGGACUGAGACACGGCCCAGACUCCUACGGGAGGCAGCAGUGGGGAAUAUUGGACAAUGGGGGGAACCCUGAUCCAGCCAUGCCGCGUGUGUGAAGAAGGCCUUAUGGUUGUAAAGCACUUUAAGCGAGGAGGAGGCUACUGAGACUAAUACUCUUGGAUAGUGGACGUUACUCGCAGAAUAAGCACCGGCUAACUCUGUGCCAGCCGCCGCUGUAAUAC
rnacentral:rRNA from 1 species